UCCGUGCCAGCAGCCGCGGUAAUACGGAGGGUGCGAGCGUUAAUCGGAAUUACUGGGCGUAAAGGGUGCGUAGGUGGUUGAUUAAGUUAUCUGUGAAAUUCCUGGGCUUAACCUGGGCUGGUCAGAUAAUACUGUUUGACUUGAGUAUGGGAGAGGGUAGUGGAAUUUCCAGGUGUAGCGGUGAAAUGCGUAGAGAUCGGAAGGAACACCAGUGGCGAAGGCGGCUACCUGGCCUAAUACUGACACUGAGGCACGAAAGCGUGGGGAGCAAACAGGAUUAGAUACCCUGGUAGUCCACGCUGUAAACGAUGUCAACU
rnacentral:rRNA from 1 species